GGAUAGCGGCGGACGGGUGAGUAACGCGUGGGGAUGUGCCCAGAGGUACGGAAUAGCCCAGGGAAACUUGGAUUAAUACCGUAUACGCCCUUCGGGGGAAAGAUUUAUCGCCUUUGGAUCAACCCGCGUCUGAUUAGGUAGUUGGUGGGGUAAUGGCCUACCAAGCCUACGAUCAGUAGCUGGUUUUAGAGGAUGAUCAGCCACACUGGGACUGAGACACGGCCCAGACUCCUACGGGAGGCAGCAGUGGGGAAUCUUAGACAAUGGGGGAAACCCUGAUCUAGCCAUGCCGCGUGAGUGACGAAGGCCCUAGGGUCGUAAAGCUCUUUCGCCAGGGAUGAUAAUGACAGUACCUGGUAAAGAAACCCCGGCUAACUCCGUGCCAGCAGCCGCGGUAAUACGGAGGGGGUUAGCGUUGUUCGGAAUUACUGGGCGUAAAGCGCACGUAGGCGGAUCGGAAAGUUGGGGGUGAAAUCCCGGGGCUCAACCCCGGAACUGCCUCCAAAACUAUCGGUCUAGAGUUCGAGAGAGGUGAGUGGAAUUCCGAGUGUAGAGGUGAAAUUCGUAGAUAUUCGGAAGAACACCAGUGGCGAAGGCGGCUCACUGGCUCGAUACUGACGCUGAGGUGCGAAAGCGUGGGUAGCAAACAGGAUUAGAUACCCUGGUAGUCCACGCCGUAAACGUUGAAUGCCAGUCGUCGGGCAGCAUGCUGUUCGGUGACACACUACGANANNUAAGCAUUCCGCCUGGGGAGUACGGCCGCAAGGUUAAACUCAAA
rnacentral:rRNA from 1 species